CAUAAAAGAGUAGGCAAGAAUUGCAAUAAUUGUUACGAGAUUCAGUUUUACGUAUACUUAAUUUGCGUUCUAAUAUCCCUACUCACCUACUAUAUAGUAGGGAAAAAGAGGAUGUAAAGAAAUAAGUAUGUCCGAAACCUUAAACCAUUAAACAGUAGGCGAGAAAUCCCCGGAUGUCCUACUGCUUCAGCCAAGAUUCUGAAGGGUUCAUCGAUAGAUACUUUUCAAUCGCAGGAUGCCACACGAAAGGGAUAAAUCGUCAUCGAACGUGAAGGAGAGCAGCGACGUGGGUGUUUACAAAGGUGAGUAUUAUAAAACAAAACACGGUUCCCAUGUGAUAAAAUCGUAUUUGUUGAGCUACUGUAGAGUAAACUGUUGAUUUGUUAAGGUGUAAAGACGCUAGCCAGUAACAUAACAGUAUAUUUGUAAAAAACAACAACAAAACAGGUUUUAUUAUGUAAAGUGAAAAGCGGAUCUCCAGUAAACACAUGUACAUCUCCAAAGUGGAUUUGCAUGAACCAUAUACAUCUUAAAAACGAUUAAAUGUCUGUUUAAUACAAGACAGAGAAAUGUUAGAGAAUUGCAAAAGAGCAAAUCACAUGAAUGUUCAUCUGAGUGAGAGAUGUUUUUGUUAUGUAGAAUUCACUGUCUACAUUGCUUUAGAUGAAUGUAAGUAAUGUAAGUAAAUCUACAUUAAAUACACAUAAGUUAUCUAUUUAAUUUGACCAUUAGUAUUGUUGAUAAAUAGUGGAGCUCUUGUGUUGGAUAAAGUGAGUGAACACAUCAGCAUCUAUCUCAACAUGUAAAUGCAGUAUAUCACAGAUAAAUCACAGAGGAGACUGACUCUUGUCUGGAUGUUAAAGGGACAGAUGAGACACACGUGUGUUUAUCUGCUGCAGAGAAACUGAUGAUGAACGCUGCCAUUAAUGUCUAUCAGUGAGGAUACUACAGUCAUCAAUAAAACAUCUUUCAGAUAAGUUGUAGUUUAUUAAUAAACAGUUAUUACAGCACUUUUCUGAUUCUUGAUUGCUGUACAUUUGAUGCAGAUAUUUUGUGGUGGAGCAGGUGACAGCAGCAUCUGUGAAAAAAAAAACCUGAAACCAAAAUCUAAAGAUCUGAAAUGUGUGCAGACAGCUGUGUGCACUGAGGAUGGAGAAGAUGGAGUGCCAUGGUGGGUGAAAUGCUCCAUCACUGCAUCUCCUCUUGUUUUCUCAUCUGGACCAGAUGCUGCUGUGGUCUCUUCAUCUUCAGCGACCCCAGAGCCAAGUUUGUUCUGCUGGUUUCUGUUCAUACAACAUUAGUCAAUAAACCUAAGUUUCAGAAGUUUCUAAAGUAUCAUCAAAUAAUGUCAUGAAGAAUCUGAAAGUCAGGCUCCAUUGACUGAUACUGUAUGAACACAAACCAGCAGGAGAAACUUGACCGAAAUCACCUUUUGUGUUUGGACAAAGGAUUGAACAGAAUGAAGGCAAGUCAUUAAUGACUGAAUUUAUGUUUAGAUGACCUGACCCUUUAAAACCCCAAACAGAAACUGUAUUAAAUUUAUGCAUGCAUUAAUAUUAUAGUAGUACCUUGAAGAAAAAAGCUUAAGAAAUAAGGAGCUUUAUUGAGCAUUUGUGCCCAAGACACAAAAAAGCAUUCACAAAAUUCACAUUUACAUGUAUUAAUUUGCCAGACACUUUUAUCUGAAGUGACUUACAGUGCUCUUAUUAUAGGAUCUCAAUCCCUCUGCAGUCACCGGGAGUAAAGACACACCGGUGGAGAUUGAUCCAGCAACCUUCUGCUGACCAGUCCACUUCACUACACCACAGAAAUAAUGAAGCUAUAUCAAAUUAACAUGCAAUUGUAGUCAUGCUCAUGGUGAGCAGCACACAGCUGUUUGGAGCAGACACGGCAGCACAUGUUCUCCUGCUCUUGUUCAGGGUUGUGUGGUCCAGCGUCUUCAUCGUGGUCUUCUUCAUUCUCUCUGUGCACUCAGACAAGGACUCGAUGUCCCUCUCUCAUCAUGAUCAGAUUCAGUCUGACUGCAGCAGUGAGGGACCUGAUGGACGGAUGUGUGUUCACCGUCUGUAAACGGUCAAAAACAGAACAAUGUUUGAAUAAAGCUUUGUUUCAUCUGUU